AAUGCUGAAAGAGAAAUGAAAUAACCCAGUUAAGCAUAGAAAAGCAGAGAUUAACUCUCGUACCUUUUGCAUCAUGAUUUAGCAAGUUCAUCCAAGCAAAAAGCAUUUUAGUUUGUUUUCCCGAAACUAGACGAGCUACUCCAGGACAGCCUAACAAUAGGGCACACCCGUCUCUGUGGCAAAAGAGUGGGAAGAUCUUUGAGUAGAGGUGAUAAACCUACCGAGCCUAGUUAUAGCUGGUUGCCUGGGAACUAAAUAUAAGUUUAGCCUCUUGUCUUCUUUUGCCAAAAAUGGACAACCUAUCACAGGCUUUGAGAAUACAUUGAGAGUUAGUCAGAAGGGGGACAGCCCUUCUGAAUUAAGACACAACUUUUUUAACUGGAUAAUAAUCAUAUACAUAUUAAGGUUUAUGUUUAGGUGGGCCUAAAAGCAGCCACCCUGAAAGAUAGCGUUAAAGCUCAUACAUAACCUAAGCCAACUAUACCGAUAAUUAAUUAUAAUCCGCUAAAAUUACCAGGCCCUUCUAUCCUCCGAUAGAAAAGAUUAUGCUAAUAUGAGUAAUAAGAGAAUUCAUUUCUCUCCCUGCAUAAGUGUAAAUCUGAACGGAACAACCACAGAAUCUUAACGGUCCCAACCCAAGAGGGUAUUGAAGCUAAAAUAGAAAACAGGAAAUAUCUUUAUACAUUUACCGUUACCCCUACACUGGAAUGCAAGUUUGGAAAGACUAAAAGGGUAAGAAGGAACUCGGCAAAUUUCAAAAGAAGCCUCGCC
rnacentral:rRNA from 1 species